rnacentral:rRNA from 1 species
AUUGAACGCUGGCGGCAGGCCUAACACAUGCAAGUCGAACGGUAACAGGAAGCAGCUUGCUGCUUCGCUGACGAGUGGCGGACGGGUGAGUAAUGUCUGGGAAACUGCCUGAUGGAGGGGGAUAACUACUGGAAACGGUAGCUAAUACCGCAUAACGUCGCAAGACCAAAGAGGGGGACCUUCGGGCCUCUUGCCAUCGGAUGUGCCCAGAUGGGAUUAGCUUGUUGGUGGGGUAACGGCUCACCAAGGCGACGAUCCCUAGCUGGUCUGCGAGGAUAACCAGCCACACUGGAACUGGGACACGGUCCAGACGCCUACGGGAGGCAGCAGUGGGGAAUAUUGCACAAUGGGCGCAAGCCUGAUGCAGCCAUGCCGCGUGUAUGAAGAAGGCCUUCGGGUUGUAAAGUACUUUCAGCGGGGAGGAAGGGAGUAAAGUUAAUACCUUUACUCAUUGACGUUACCCGCAGAAGAAGCACCGGCUAACUCCGUGCCAGCCGCCGCGGUAA